AAAAAAAAAUGCUUUUGUAAUGUUGAGAAACACUGAAAUUAUUAUUCAUAAAAAACUUUCAACCACUGUUCUGUGAUGUCACGUAUAGUGAUAUACAAAUAUAUCUGAAGGAAAGGUGUAUUUGGGAUAAUCAAUAUUAUUAGUAUUAUUCAUGUAUUUAUUCAUUUUUAAAUCAGAGAAUGGGGGAAAAUAGAUUAUUAGUACAAAAACUAGUAACUAGUAAAAAAAAAAAUGGUAACAAUAAUGUUCAUUCAUUAAUUGACGCUUGGUCAAACUCUCAUCUAAUUAAGUAUUGCUGUCUCAUUAAUGUAUUAAUGUAUUUAUUUAUUUUGUCGGCUAAAACCUGAGGAGAAGAAGAAGAUGACUUUAUUAAUCCCACAAUGGGGAAAUUCAACCUCUGCAUUUAACCCAUCCUUUUUUACACACAAGUGAACACACCAUGCAAGGAGCAGUGGGCAGCACAUUACUGCGCCCGAAGCCAUCACCAUGUUGUUUUUUCACAUCAGAAUAAGUAUUUCACAUGAUGCAGAUCUUUCAGCAUGUGGUCCUCAAUAUAUAGUAUAGAAGUCACUGUAUUUUCUGACUUUUCCAGGUUUCCUGUGUCCAGCAUCUUCAAGACAGACUAAGCUAACUUUUCAUAUUUUUUGCACAUUUAUAUUUAGGUUAGGUUUAUAGUAGAGUAUUUAGUUUGUAUAGUUUAGCUUUUUAUGCUGGUCUAGGGACAGUUAAGUUAGCAAAUUAAUUUAGUUCAGAUCACUUACAGUUGCAUAUUAUUGUUACAAUUGUGUUAUUUUGUGAGUUAUUGUUGUACAGGCUAUUGUAUAUUGCAGGACCAAGUGAGACGAGGAAGACCACUGCUUCCAAGAUGCCGCGCUCAGAAAGUGCGUUGGACAAGUCUCGACCUUGCAGAUCCUGCCCCACUGAGCCCAACCACUUCCGACCAUGGGGUACCUCAAAGACCUCCGUCAACCAGCCGGCUGUGGAUGAUGGAUAACGCACCCACAACUCCUUCUCCAGUCUACAAGGAAGGAGUUCUCAGAGACAUCCUGGUAUGUAGACUUGCUAGAUGAUUUCAUCUGAAGGAGUUCCAAGAUCCAGAAACAUGGAUCACCUCGUUCCACGACGCUGGACUGCACUAUGAGAGGGCACGAAUAUCAAGCCUUUGUGGGAUCACUAUGAACGCCCUAAGGCGCAAAGCUGGGACAGAUCUUUCCGGCAAUAUAGCAGGACAUUUGCAGGACGGCACUAUGAAAGAGGCUUCUUUGCCUUCUGUGAUAUCUGACUUCCAGCGCCGACAAAGUGACCGAUAUCUCUUUGAAUGGACUGACCCCAUAGUACAUCAAGGACCUCAUCCAAAUCUAUACUCCAGCGCUCAAAUUGAGGUCCGAGGGCCAGCUCCAGCCCGUGGUGCCUUGAGCGAGAUUUAAAACCAGGGGGGACAGGGCUUUCUCUGUGGUGGGCCCCAGACUUUGGAUUGCCCUCCCCCUCCAUGUCCCAACAGCCCCCACGGUGGAGUGCUUUAAGUCUCGUCUUAAGACCCAUUUUUAUUUCCUGGCUUUUUAACUUUGCUUGAGUUUUGUGGUCCUCUGUGUCUUUUAUUUCUUUUACUACUUCAAACUACAUCUUUUAUUUAUUUUACUAUCUGUUUGAUUUUAUUGUUUUAUUUAUAGCAUCAUUUUAGAGUAAUACACUUUUUAUUUAUUGCUGAUUGUUAUAUGGAAAUGUUCGUUUUAUUGUUGAUUCUAUGUACAGCACUUUGGAGACGUUUUUGUUGUUUAAAUGUGCUAUACAAAUAAAGUGGAUUGGAUUGAA